rnacentral:rRNA from 1 species
AGAUUGAACGCUGGCGGCAGGCCUAACACAUGCAAGUCGAGCGGUAGAGAGGUGCUUGCAUCUCUUGAGAGCGGCGGACGGGUGAGUAAUGCCUAGGAAUCUGCCUAGUGGUGGGGGAUAACGUUCGGAAACGGACGCUAAUACCGCAUACGUCCUACGGGAGAAGCGGGGACCUUCGGGCCUCGCGCCAUUAGAUGAGCCUAGGUCGAUUAGCUAGUUGGUGAGUAAUCGGCUCACCGAAGGCGAACGAUCCGUAACUGGUCUGAGAGAUGAUCAGUCACACGUAGAACUGAA